rnacentral:rRNA from 1 species
GUCGGGAAUUUUGCGCAAUGGACGAAAGUCUGACGCAGCAACGCCGCGUGAGGGAUGACGGCCUUCGGGUUGUAAACCUCUUUUCUCAGGGAAGAUAAUGACGGUACCUGAGGAAUAAGCCACGGCUAACUACGUGCCAGCAGCCGCGGUAAUACGUAGGUGGCGAGCGUUGUCCGGAUUUACUGGGCGUAAAGAGCGCGCAGGCGGUCGUACAAGUCGCGUGUGAAAGCCCCCGGCUCAACUGGGGAGGGUCACGCGAUACUGUUCGACUCGAAGGCAGGAGAGGGAAGUGGAAUUCCCGGUGUAGUGGUGAAAUGCGUAGAUAUCGGGAGGAACACCAGUGGCGAAGGCGACUUCCUGGCCUGUUCUUGACGCUGAGGCGCGAAAGCUAGGGUAGCAAACGGGAUUAGAAACCCGAGUAGUCC